UUAAUUUAUUUAAUUUAAAUUAAUCGAUAUAUUUUGAUUGCAAAAUUUAAAUUCGUUGUUUAUUUUUACAGACUUAGUUGGUAUAUUUUAUGUAAUUUUUGUAACUAAAAAUUUACGAAAAUAAUUAGCUUUUAAAGGGCGGAUAAUUGACUCAAAAUAAUUUAUAGUUCAAAUAUAUUAUAUACUUUUUUAUUUUUUGAAGAAAGAUUGUAAAUUAUCUAAUUUAUUUUUUAAUAAAAAUAAACUUAAUUAAAAAUAUAAAAUAAUUAUAUUUCGAAUUUAGAACCUUAAAUAUAUUGAUCAUCAAAUCCU
rnacentral:lncRNA from 1 species